AUUGAACGCUGGCGGCAGGCCUAACACAUGCAAGUCGAGCGGAUGAAGGGAGCUUGCGCCUGGAUUCAGCGGCGGACGGGUGAGUAAUGCCUAGGAAUCUGCCUGGUAGUGGGGGAUAACGUCCGGAAACGGGCGCUAAUACCGCAUACGUCCUGAGGGUGAAAGUGGGGGAUCUACGGACCUCACGCUAUCAGAUGAGCCUAGGUCGGAUUAGCUAGUUGGUGGGGUAAAGGCCUACCAAGGCGACGAUCCGUAACUGGUCUGAGAGGAUGAUCAGUCACACUGGAACUGAGACACGGUCCAGACUCCUACGGGAGGCAGCAGUGGGGAAUAUUGGACAAUGGGCGAAAGCCUGAUCCAGCCAUGCCGCGUGUGUGAAGAAGGUCUUCGGAUUGUAAAGCACUUUAAGUUGGGAGGAAGGGCAGUAAGUGAAUACCUUGCUGUUUUGACGUUACCAACAGAAUAAGCACCGGCUAACUUCGUG
rnacentral:rRNA from 1 species